rnacentral:rRNA from 1 species
UGGGGAAUAUUGGACAAUGGGCGCAAGCCUGAUCCAGCAAUGCCGCGUGCGUGAAGAAGGCCUUCGGGUUGUAAAGCACUUUUAUCAGGAGCGAAACGCUGUCGGCUAAUACCCGGCGGAACUGACGGUACCUGAGGAAUAAGCACCGGCUAACUUCGUGCCAGCAGCCGCGGUAAUACGAAGGGUGCAAGCGUUAAUCGGAAUUACUGGGCGUAAAGCGUGCGUAGGCGGUUUCUUAAGUCUGCUGUGAAAUCCCCGGGCUCAACCUGGGAAUGGCAGUGGAUACUGGGAGGCUAGAGUGUGUCAGAGGGUGGUGGAAUUCCCGGUGUAGCGGUGAAAUGCGUAGAGAUCGGGAGGAACAUCAGUGGCGAAGGCGGCCACCUGGGACAACACUGACGCUGAGGCACGAAAGCGUGGGGAGCAAACAGGAUUAGAUACCCUGGUAGUCCACGCCCUAAACGAUGCGAACUGGAUGUUGGUCUCAACUCGGAGAUCAGUGUCGAAGCUAACGCGUUAAGUUCGCCGCCUGGGGAGUACGGUCGCAAGACUGAAACUUAAAUGAAUUGAC